CAUUGAAUGUUCAGCUUUAUAAGAAUUAAAAUCGUACAUUCUGUCAUAAUUUUGAUGUCUAAACUUGAAUUGUAGACUGGAUUCUUACUUGUAGUAAGAAUGUUAAAGCGCGUUCGUUCAUUAAAAAUGUGUUCAGAUAUAUCCUAAUUGUUAGAUUUACUGUAUCGUUAUAGAUCAAGUUAAAUAGAUCGACUAUUUUUUUAUAGAUUGCUUUGAAUAAAUCACAUACACUGCAUCCAAUAUUAGAAACAUGUAUGUACCUUUUAUGUAGUUUAUGUAGAACAGGAGAGUAACAACAAUCCUGAUCCUACCCUAUAUUCAUAGAAAAUGCUUCUUAUAUACACAAAAUAGAAGUGUAGAUUUUACACCUCCCAUUUUAGGUUUGAUAAAAAUGUAAAUAAUUUUUAGUAAGAAUAAAAAGAAAUUGAUGUGAGAAGUAGAAUAUUAAUAUCUUGAAAUAAAGUAGAUGUAAGAUGUAUACUACAUUUUGAGAUGUACCGAUAGCAUUACUCCUAUUCAAAUGCGUAAAGUUUAUGCCCAUAAAUUUUUUAUUAUUCUUAUUAGGUUGGAUUAUAUUUUACUAUACUAUAUUUUACUGUUAAUUUUAUUUGCCAUAUUAUAUAUAUAUAGAGAGAGAGAGAAAGAGUUAGGCUGGUAUACUAUCGGUAGCACGGAGCCCUCCGUGCUACCAAGUUGUUUUCAAUGAUACGGCUUCCAAAUCGAUGAUCGGCUCCGUUAGACUUGAUCUACACUAUUGAAAGUAUUUGUAAACUAAAUUUUAUAAUUUUUCGGCAUCAUUUACCUAUCAAACGAGUAGUCUAAAAAUAAACGGCUGAAAAUAAAAAUCUCGUAAAAAAUGAUGAUAAAAGACUUGAAUUUAAGAUCAGAGAUACUGAUCUUAUCCUAAAUAGUGAAAAAAAUUUUCUAUAAAAAUUUUAUCAGAUUUGAAUUGUUUUAUACCGUUAAAUUCACAAACAUAUCAUAUUUACCAUUAAAAUUGUCAAUUUUGAGACCUUUUGAUCACUAGUGAAAUGAUGCUGAAAAAUUAUGAAAUUUAGUUUCCAA
rnacentral:lncRNA from 1 species